GAUGAACGCUGGCGGCGUGCCUAAUACAUGCAAGUCGAGCGAACAGACGAGGAGCUUGCUCCUCAGACGUUAGCGGCGGACGGGUGAGUAGCACGUGGAUAACCUACCUAUAAGACUGGGAUAACUUCGGGAAACCGGAGCUAAUACCGGAUAAUAUAUUGAACCGCAUGGUUCAAUAGUGAAAGACGGUUUUGCUGUCACUUAUAGAUGGAUCCGCGCCGCAUUAGCUAGUUGGUAAGGUAACGGCUUACCAAGGCAACGAUGCGUAGCCGACCUGAGAGGGUGAUCGGCCACACUGGAACUGAGACACGGUCCAGACUCCUACGGGAGGCAGCAGUAGGGAAUCUUCCGCAAUGGGCGAAAGCCUGACGGAGCAACGCCGCGUGAGUGAUGAAGGUCUUCGGAUCGUAAAACUCUGUUAUUAGGGAAGAACAAAUGUGUAAGUAACUAUGCACGUCUUGACGGUACCUAAUCAGAAAGCCACGGCUAACUACGUG
rnacentral:rRNA from 1 species